AUUGAACGCUGGCGGCAUGCUUUACACAUGCAAGUCGAACGGUAACAGGCCUUCGGGUGCUGACGAGUGGCGCACGGGUGAGUAAUGCAUCGGAACGUACCCAGAGGUGGGGGAUAACGCAGCGAAAGCUGUGCUAAUACCGCAUGUGAUCUGAGGAUGAAAGCGGGGGACCGAGCAGCAAUGUUUGGCCUCGCGCCUUUGGAGCGGCCGAUGUCGGAUUAGCUAGUUGGUGGGGUAAAGGCCUACCAAGGCGACGAUCCGUAGCUGGUCUGAGAGGACGACCAGCCACACUGGGACUGAGACACGGCCCAGACUCCUACGGGAGGCAGCAGUGGGGAAUUUUGGACAAAGGGCGCAAGCCUGAUCCAGCAAUGCCGCGUGCGGGAAGAAGGCCUUCGGGUUGUGAACCGCUUUUGGCAGGAACGAAACGGUGUCCGCUAAUACCGGGCGCUAAUGACGGUACCUGCAGAAUAAGCACCGGCUAACUACGUG
rnacentral:rRNA from 1 species